UGAGGAAUAUUGGUCAAUGGACGAGAGUCUGAACCAGCCAAGUAGCGUGCAGGAUGACGGCCCUAUGGGUUGUCACCUGCCUUUGUUUGGGAAUAAUCGACAUUACGUGUAAUGUUUUGCAUGUACCAUUCGAAUAAGGACCGGCUAAUUCCGUGCCAGCAGCCGCGGUAAUACGGAAGGUCCAGGCGUUAUCCGGAUUUAUUGGGUUUAAAGGGAGUGUUGGCGGUUGGUUAAGCGUGUUGUGAAAUGUAGAUGCUCAACAUCUGACUUGCAGCGCGAAAUGGCUGACUUGAGUACACACAACGUAGGCGGAAUUAAUGGUGUAGCGGUGAGAUGCUUAGAUAUCAUGAAGAACUCCGAUUGCGAAGGCAGCUUACGGGAGUGUUACUGACGCUUAAGCUCGAAGGUGCGGGUAUCGAACAGG
rnacentral:rRNA from 1 species